UUAGAGUGGCAGCGGCCACGCGGUGUGAAGCGUUUGUAUGGCCUGUGCAGAGGGGAGAGAACAGGGAUAGACAGACACAUAGUUGACAGGCUACAGAAGAGGCUACGCUAAUGCAAAGGAGAUUGGACUGACAAGUGGACUACACGUCUCGAAUGUUCAGAAAGUUAAGCUUACGUUGCAAAAAUCUUAUUGACUAAAAUGACUAAAAUGACACAGUACUGCUGGCUGGUGGAGUAGGCUAGCUAGCAGUGGCUGCGUUGUUGACUUUGUUUGAAAGUGUAGCUGGCUAGGUAACCUCGAUAGUUUCAGUACUACACCUUUAUCAUGAUACAAAGGCAACUAUGUAGCUAGCUAACAUAACACUAAUCAAGACAGGUGUAGGGGUACAACUGAAAUGGUAACCUAAUAAAAGCACGAUAGUUUUAUCAUCUCAGAUACUGGAGGAGUAGAACAGCUCUGUUUUAGUGUUAUCAUCUUAGAUAACAGGUUGAGUCUUUCCUCUAGAACAGCUCUGUUAUAGUGUUAUCAUCUGUGAUAACAGGUUGAGUCUCUCCUCUAAUACAGCUCUGUUGUCAUCUUAGAUACUAGAGGAGUAGAACAGCUCUGUUAUAGUUUUAUCAUCUCAGAUACUAGAGGAGUAGAACAGCUCUGUUAUAGUGUUAUCAUCUGAGAUAACAGGUUGAGUCUCUCCUCUAAUACAGCUCUGUUGUUAUAGUGUUAUCAUCUUAGAUAACAGGUUGAGUCUCUCUAAUACAGCUCUGUUAUAGUGUUAUCAUCUUAGAUAACAGGUCGAGUCUCUCCUCUAGUACAGCUCUGUUUUAGUGUUAUCAUCUUAGAUAACAGGUUGAGUCUCUCUAGUACAGCUCUGUUGUUAUAGUGUUAUCAUCUUAGAUA
rnacentral:lncRNA from 1 species